rnacentral:rRNA from 1 species
GACGAACGCUGGCGGCGUGCUUAACACAUGCAAGUCGAACGGUGACCCAGGGCUUGCCCUGGUGAUCAGUGGCGAACGGGUGAGUAACACGUGGGCAACCUGCCCCUGACUUCGGGAUAACUCCUCGAAAGAGGAGCUAAUACCGGAUACGACCACUUCGGACAUCCGAUGGUGGUGGAAAGUUUUUCGGUCAGGGAUGGGCCCGCGGCCUAUCAGCUAGUUGGUGGGGUAAUGGCCUACCAAGGCGACGACGGGUAGCCGGCCUGAGAGGGCGACCGGCCACACUGGGACUGAGACACGGCCCAGACUCCUACGGGAGGCAGCAGUGGGGAAUAUUGCGCAAUGGGCGAAAGCCUGACGCAGCGACGCCGCGUGAGGGAUGAAGGCCCUCGGGUUGUAAACCUCUUCAGCAGGGACGAAGCGAAAGUGACGGUACCUGCAGAAGAAGCACCGGCUAACUACGUGCCAGCAGCCGCGGUAAU